rnacentral:rRNA from 1 species
AAGACCUUGCGCUUUUGGAGCGGCCGAUGCCUGAUUAGCUUGUUGGUAAGGUAAAAGCUUACCAAGGCUUCGAUCAGUAGCUGGUCUGAGAGGACGGCCAGCCACACUGGGACUGAGACACGGCCCAGACUCCUACGGGAGGCAGCAGUGGAGAAUUUUGGACAAUGGGGGCAACCCUGAUCCAGCCAUGCCGCGUGAGUGAAGAAGGCCUUCGGGUUGUAAAGCUCUUUCAGCCGGAACGAAACGGUUACGGUUAAUACCCGUGACUACUGACGGUACCGGAAGAAGAAGCACCGGCUAACUACGUGCCAGCAGCCGCGGUAAUACGUAGGGUGCGAGCGUUAAUCGGAAUUACUGGGCGUAAAGCGUGCGCAGGUGGUUUUGUAAGUCAGAUGUGAAAGCCCCGGGCUCAACCUGGGAACU